AUAAUCGGUCGACCUCUACUUGACAAUCACCCUAAUGGCUCCUGUGGACCCUUGGGGCCCCUCUUCACCUGUCCCUGCUAGUGGUCUGUCUAGCAACAUCUGUAGCAAUGCAAGAGCAACACAGAGGUUCUGAUGAGGGUAAUCUGUAAAUUCAUCUCAGAAUAGCCUACAGCACAAUUCACACACCAGUUUUAAGAAGACUCCGCAUAUGUUACAUUUCGAUUUUUACAAAUGGAAAUAAAAAUGAUGGAAUGAUAAUUUUACGGUUCUCUUACUAAAUUGUCUGUGUUUCUGGGUUGAUAUUAUUACAGGAGAUGUUACCUGUACAGCAGAGAUCCUCAGCUCGCAGUGUGAAGGAGGACCUGUGCAUUCCUCCACUCACACACAGUAUGAAGUCUGGAGGAGGAGGGGAUGGCUCUGAUUGAGGUUCUGAAGAUCAGAGAAUAGUGAGAUGACCUCAUUUACUAAUAUUUAGUAGACCAAUAGGCCUAUUUGUUUUGUACUCUGCUUGCUUUGUUAAGCUUUAGAAAAUAAAUGGAUGCUUAUGAUGAAA